UACAGGGGGGCAAGGCGUUGUUCGGAAUUACUGGGCGUAAAGGGUCUGGUAGGUGGCCAACUAAGUCAGACGUGAAAUCCCUCAGCUUAACUGGGGAACUGCGUCUGAUACUGGAUGGCUUGAGUGUGGGAGAGGAAUGCGGAAUUCCAGGUGUAGCGGUGAAAUGCGUAGAUAUCUGGAGGAACACCGGUGGCGAAGGCGGCAUUCUGGACCAUAACUGACACUGAGAGACGAAAGCCAGGGGAGCAAACGGG
rnacentral:rRNA from 1 species